rnacentral:lncRNA from 1 species
CAAAGCCAGAGUUGCCAACAUCUGACAAGAGUUUACAUAGCUUGAACAAAAUUCAAAUAACAUAAUGAUGGGAUUCAGUGAUUCAGAUUCAGACACUGAAUCAGAAAGAAUACCAGAAGUUCCUGACUGAUUUUACCAGUGUAUCCUGAUUUGAAGAACAUGUCUUCAAUCAAGAUUGGACGAUGGCAAUUGGCAUGUGGACCAGACAAAGGCCCAGAGAGGAAGAAAGAGUUUCUACAAGCAACAUGAAAGGACAUGGAAGAACUUUGGAACUUUGAAAUCUUGCAACUUUUGAUCGUGAGGAUAUGUAAGAGUGCGUCAUACAUGUGAACAUCACUUAUAUAUGCAUGCACAUCCUACAUAGCAAAGGAAGAUAUUUCAUGGAAUGGAUGAAACAUAGGUUCCCUGAUUUGUUUCCAGUCUACAACUGCAAGUGUACAGGUUGA